rnacentral:rRNA from 1 species
UUUAAACGGCCGCGGUAUUCUAACCGUGCAAAGGUAGCGUAAUCACUUGUCUUCCAAAUAAAGACCAGUAUGAAUGGCUAAAUGAGGACAGACCUGUCUCCUACACCCCAUCAGUGAAACUGAUCUCCCCGUUCAAAAGCAGGGAUAUCCACACAAGACGAGAAGACCCUGUGGAGCUUUAAGUAAACUACUAAGAAACACACAAUGUAACUAGUACUAACUUUAAGUUGGGGCGACUUCGGAACAAAACAAAACUUCCGAGCACAGAACUACAACUUCUAACUUAGGCCAACAAGCCUAAACAAAACUGACCCAGUAAAACUGAUCAACGAACCAAGUUACCCCAGGGAUAACAGCGCUAUCUUCUUCAAGAGUCCAUAUCGACAAGAAGGUUUACGACCUCGAUGUUGGAUCAGGACACCCCAAUGGUGCAGCCGCUAUUAAAGGUUCGUUUGUUCAAC